UAAGGAAUAUUGGACAAUGGAGGCAACUCUGAUCCAGCCAUGCCGCGUGAAGGAAUAAGGCCCUAUGGGUUGUAAACUUCUUUUAGACGGGACAAAACCCCUUUACGUGUAAAGGGUUGAUGGUACUGUCAGAAUAAGCAUCGGCUAACUUCGUGCCAGCAGCCGCGGUAAUACGAAGGAUGCAAGCGUUAUCCGGAAUUAUUGGGUUUAAAGGGUGCGUAGGCGGACUAAUAAGUCAGUGGUGAAAGCCUGCAGCUUAACUGCAGAAUUGACAUUGAUACUGGUAGUCUUGAGUACAGUUGAGGUAGGCGGAAUGUGUCAUGUAGGGUUGAAAUGCUUAGAUAUGACACAGAACACCGAUUGCGAAGGCAGCUUGCUAAGCUGUAACUGACGCUGAGGCACGAAAGCGUGGGGAGCAAAC
rnacentral:rRNA from 1 species